rnacentral:ncRNA from 1 species
ACAAUGGAGAGUUUGAUCCUGGCUCAGGAUGAACGCUAGCGGCAGGCUUAAUACAUGCAAGUCGUGGGGCAGCAGGGGUAGCAAUACCCGCUGGCGACCGGCAAACGGGUGCGCAAUACGUACGCAACCUUCCUUUAAGCGGGGAAUAGCCCAGAGAAAUUUGGAUUAAUACCCCAUAGUAUAUUGAAGAGGCAUCUUUUUAAUAUUAAAGCUCCGGCACUUAAAGAUGGGCGUACGGCUGAUUAGGUAGUUGGCGGGGUAACGGCCCACCAAGCCUACGAUCAGUAGCUGAUGUGAGAGCAUGAUCAGCCACACGGGCACUGAGACACGGGCC